rnacentral:rRNA from 1 species
UACAGAGGGGGCAAGCGUUGUUCGGAAUUACUGGGCGUAAAGGGCGCGUAGGCGGCCCGCUAAGUCGAACGUGAAAUCCCCGGGCUCAACCCGGGAACUGCGUCCGAUACUGGUGGGCUUGAAUCCGGGAGAGGGAUGCGGAAUUCCAGGUGUAGCGGUGAAAUGCGUAGAUAUCUGGAGGAACACCGGUGGCGAAGGCGGCAUCCUGGACCGGCAUUGACGCUGAGGCGCGAAAGCCAGGGGAGCAAACAGG